UACAGAGGGUGCGAGCGUUAAUCGGAAUUACUGGGCGUAAAGCGCGCGUAGGCGGUCUUGUAAGUCGGGUGUGAAAGCCCCGGGCUCAACCUGGGAACUGCAUUCGAGACUGCAGGACUGGAGUAUUGGAGAGGGCAGCGGAAUUUCCGGUGUAGCGGUGAAAUGCGUAGAUAUCGGAAGGAACAUCAGUGGCGAAAGCGGCUGCCUGGCCAAAUACUGACGCUCAUGUGCGAAAGCGUGGGGAGCAAACGGG
rnacentral:rRNA from 1 species